rnacentral:rRNA from 1 species
UUGAACGCUGGCGGCAGGCCUAACACAUGCAAGUCGAGCGGAUGAAGGGAGCUUGCUCCUGGAUUCAGCGGCGGACGGGUGAGUAAUGCCUAGGAAUCUGCCUGGUAGUGGGGGAUAACGUCCGGAAACGGGCGCUAAUACCGCAUAUGUCCUGAGGGAGAAAGUGGGGGAUCUUCGGACCUCACGCUAUCAGAUGAGCCUAGGUCGGAUUAGCUAGUUGGUGGGGUAAAGGCCUACCAAGGCGACGAUCCGUAACUGGUCUGAGAGGAUGAUCAGCCACACUAGGACUGAGCCCCGGCGCAGACUGCGACGGGAGGCAGCAGUGGGGAAUAUUGGACAAUGGGCGAAAGCCUGAUCCAGCAAUGCCGCGUGAGUGAUUAAGGCCUUAGGGUUGGAAAGCUCUUGUACCCGUGAUGAUAAUGACAGUACCGGGAGAAUAAGCUCCGGCUAACUCCGUG